AUGAACGCUGGCGGCGUGCCUAAUCCCUGCAAGUCGAGCGCACAGACGAGGAGCUUGCUCCUCUGACGUUAGCGGCGGACGGGUGAGUAACACGUGGAUAACCUACCUAUAAGACUGGGAUAACUUCGGGAAACCGGAGCUAAUACCGGAUAAUAUAUUGAACCGCAUGGUUCAAUAGUGAAAGACGGUUUUGCUGUCACUUAUAGAUGGAUCCGCGCCGCAUUAGCUAGUUGGUAAGGUAACGGCUUACCAAGGCAACGAUGCGUAGCCGACCUGAGAGGGUGAUCGGCCACAAUGGAACUGAGACACGGUCCAGACUCCUACGGGAGGCAGCAGUAGGGAAUCUUCCGCAAUGGGCGAAAGCCUGACGGAGCAACGCCGCGUGAGUGAUGAAGGUCUUCGGAUCGUAAAACUCUGUUAUUAGGGAAGAACAAAUGUGUAAGUAACUAUGCACGUCUUGACGGUACCUAAUCAGAAAGCCACGGCUAACUACGUG
rnacentral:rRNA from 1 species